ACAGAUCUCACCUGAUUUCAUUGAUACACGCACAUUCUCAACCAUUUUCUCACUUCACUAAUCACUACUCUUCUCACACACGCAUUUAGUAGUACACACAAGCAUCUGAAAUAAAUUUGGAGAAGUAAAACUCUAAUCUGAAAAAAAAAGUUCAAAAAACAAAACAGAAAACCAAAAGAAAUUCAAAUAGACUUUGAUCUCUGUUAAACUAUUUGGGUUUUCAAGUUGCUUUUGGAAUUGAAAUUGAAGCUGUCACUUGAAUCUCUGUUGAUUUGCUAAUUUAUCUGUUGUUGAGUUCUAGUUUCCUCUUCAAUUUCUUCUUCCCUACAUCUCAAGACAACGGUAAGAGAAGGCAGUUUGCAAAACUGGCCAGGAUUUAGCUAAAGUAAUAACACAUUUCUAGAAGCAAUGUUGGAAGGAAUUUCUUUUAAUAAAUGAUACAUGUACUUUUUAAAUCAAAUCCAGUCUAGUGUUAUAA